GUAUCCUGGCUCGGGAUGAACGCUGGCGGCGUGCUUAACACAUGCAAGUCGAACGGAACUCCUGUGUUUGAGGUUUCGGCCAAGAAGACAGGAUGUUUAGUGGCGGACGGGUGAGUAACGCGUGAGUAACCUGCCUUGGAGUGGGGAAUAACACAGUGAAAAUUGUGCUAAUACCGCAUAAUGCAUUUGGGUCGCAUGAUUCUGAAUGCCAAAGAUUUAUCGCUCUGAGAUGG
rnacentral:rRNA from 1 species